AGCUCAGAUAUGGCCUAGUGGUUAGAGCGUCCGCCUCUGAUCCCUGAUGCGGGAGGUCGUAGGUUCAAGCUCUUGCCGAGUCA